UACAUAACCGCAAUCACCGAUUGUAAUGUUAUAGGUAAUCGGUGAUUGCGGUUGUGUGGA
rnacentral:precursor_RNA from 1 species